rnacentral:rRNA from 1 species
AUUGAACGCUGGCGGCAUGCCUUACACAUGCAAAUCGAACGGUAACGGGCCUUCGGGUGCCGACGAGUGGCGAACGGGUGAGUAAUACAUCGGAACGUGCCCGAUCGUGGGGGAUAACGAGGCGAAAGCUUUGCUAAUACCGCAUACGAUCUACGGAUGAAAGCAGGGGACCGCAAGGCCUUGCGCGGACGGAGCGGCCGAUGGCAGAUUAGGUAGUUGGUGGGAUAAAAGCUUACCAAGCCGACGAUCUGUAGCUGGUCUGAGAGGAUGAUCAGCCACACUGGGACUGAGACACGGCCCAGACUCCUACGGGAGGCAGCAGUGGGGAAUUUUGGACAAUGGGCGCAAGCCUGAUCCAGCCAUGCCGCGUGCAGGAUGAAGGCCUUCGGGUUGUAAACUGAUUUUGUACGGAACGAAAAGCCUUCUUUUAAUACAGGAGGGUCAUGACGGUACUGUAAGUAUAAGCACCGGCUAACUACGUG